CAGCCGCCAAACAAGACUUAUGAGAAAAGCCAAAUAUUUUCUUCUUCCCCUGCAAGUCUCGGUCCCUUCCUCUGUUCUUCAUUUUGAGUUUUUCUCUUUCUAGCCAAGCUCCAAGAAUCACUCCAAAAAUCACACCUAUAUUCAUCCAGAAACGUAUAUUAAGGUGAGAAAUCUUGGAUUAAGUCUUAUUGAUAGUAGAAUCGAAGAAAAUUCUCCUAUCUCUUCUUCUUGCUAUUUCGAGAAAUAGGCUGUUGUGGAAGAAAACGAUUUUGCCUCUUGUAUCAUGUUGAUUACUACAUGUUUCAAGUUAGUAAUUGUUUAGAAUUAAGUAGUAUGAUGAAAGAAAUCAAAACCCUACCCCAAAGAUUCGAUUUUUGACUCCCUCAAGAACCCUAGAAUUUCAUCUUCUUUAUUUCCAUCAAUUGGCUGCGUAUAUAUAUUUAUAUGUUUGUGAGGGAAUCAUUGAGAUUUAGUUGAGUUUUUAUUUGCAAGAAAUCAUGAUUUUCUAAUAGUUUAGUUUCAAUUGAUUUGGGAAUUCUUGAUAUAAGAUAGCUACAUGUUUGAUGCUUGUGUAAUUGUACUCUUUGAGUUGUAAAAUGAGAUUAUAUGAUAAUAAUUGGAGGAUAUUAAGCAUGCUACUAUAUGUUGAUGUGUUGAACAUGAAUUAAGUUAAGCUAAAGCAUGCUAAUGUGUAUUAAGAUGAUGUAUUUGAGUUCCUAUAGCUGUUAUUUGAGGAAAAUAUGAGUUAUAUGUUAAUUGAAGCAAUUGCUGUCAGUUUUUGGGUUGACAGGACAGUAUGUUUCGGGGUACUUUUGAUGAUGUUUUCGUAGUCCAAAUAACUUGAAAUUUUUACUGUAAUAACUUCAUCAUGUGUAGUCGUUCUCUGCAAAAUUUCAGCUAAAUCCGAGACCAUUAGAUAUGCUAAAUUUUUCUGAAAUGUACUGCGCGAAGCAGCGAAGUCAGUGGCAGAUUUUGCCUUUUGUGAUAUAACUUCUAUACACUUGAUGUAUUGUAUUUUUGUACUUUUAAUAAAAUAGACUUUGAGGAUUUCUAAAAAUGUAAAGUUGUAUUUUUCUUUAAAGAGGUUGAUUUUAUAUGAUUUUAAGUUGAGAUUCAUAUAUGAUUACAUAUUUGAAGUUACUUACUUGGGAUAGUUGAGUAGAAUCUAUGCUUAAGUCAUUGGUCAAUUCUUGAAUUGAUUUUUAGUUAUUAAUUGUAAGCUAAUCUAUAUAGAAUGAUAGUUUACUCUUAUACUUUUUCAACUUGAGAUAUCCCAAGAGAUAUGAUGUUAUUGUUUGCUUUUAGUUAGUUAAGUCUAUAUAAGUAGAAUACUCAGAUUAGAGGAUGCAACUUUCAAGUGAUAGAAGUUUCAUUCAAGAUUUACUUUCUAUUUACUUACUUAUUAUCCAAUCUUACCUUGGGAACCUCAUCAUAAUGAAGGUUCGAGUGGCAGUAUAGAGUGAACAAGCAAGGUCUUCUACUUCAUUAAGUAUAUCAGGUGGGCUUACUAACUCAAGAGAUAAAGAUGCAUACUUUAAUAUAUAGUUUAGUGUAUGCAUUUAUUUUCAAAUUAUUGACUUGCCAAUUUUGAGAUUUGUAUGAUACCAUCUACAUAGAAAACGAAUUCGGGUCUGAGCGAGUCAGGAUUUGUGUACACAGAGUUGACAGUUAACCUUUGUGUUAGCUUGUCAUCGUGUUUGAGAAGGAGGCCUACUUCUCAACACUUAAAGUUAUAUGAUGCGUAGAUAUGGUACAUACAUGUUAAUGUCUCAGACGUAUAUGAUAUGAUGAUUAUAGAGAAGUUUUACAGUUUUUGCGUGCACAGGUUAUUUAAGUAAAACUCCUGUGUGAUGCUUGAGAUGGCAAGUUCAAUAUAUAGCUCUAAGAGCAAGCUUUAAAGUUAUUUCGGCAUGACCACUGAGUGCUUUUCGGUACUCAGCCCUGCGUAUGUUUCUAAAUAUGCAGGUUAAGCUGUGGUGCAGAUGGAAGCGAGCAGAGCAAAUUCUUUGAUGUAUAUGUAUUAAACCAGGCUCAGGAUUCCAUGUCUUCAUACAUGUAAUCCACAUGAAUUAUUCCGCUGCAACACUUAGUCUAUUCUACUUUAUUGAGGUGUUGUACAUAUUUUAAAACAAUAGCUUUGAGAAUUAUGUCACUUGAAAGUUAGACAACUUGUCGUUGUGUAUUGUAAGUUGUCUACUCAUGAGUUUUAAAAGUGAUUGCUUAUUAUUAUCCAAUAUUAAGUAAUUCAUCGUUAAAGCGUGUUCAAUAAUUAUUUUUAUUGAACCCUUUUUAUUUUUCAUUUUCUUUCUCUGUUCCCCGGUCACACCUUUC
rnacentral:lncRNA from 1 species